UAUGGUUGAAGGUGAGUAAAGGCUCUGGAGGGUGGGGCAGCAUGGCUGGCCGUUGACCUUGUGAUUUCUUUCUAAUUGUGAUGAACCUGAUUCAGAUAUCACGGUUGAUCUGAAUAUGUUUGUGAUCAUAUGAGCUUGAUGAACUUGAUUGCACCCUAAUAAUCUUCCCUGAUCAUUGCUUAAAUGAGACCAGUGUAGAUGAAGGCGAGUAGAGACCCUGGAGAGUGAGGCGGAAUGGGAUAGAUUCAUAUAUCAAUGGGGUUGUGUGCAUAACGAUCUGGGGAACUUUGGCUUGUGGAGGAUUAGACAAGCUUGAAGAACAUGAAUUGGGGCCUGAAAAAUCUUCUUUGAUAAUCAACUUUUUAGCAAAAAAAAUCCAUUUUUGUCAAUUUACCCAUAUUUGGGACCUGACCAUUGGUUGAAGCGCUCCAGGUUGCCUUUCUAGCCGCAGCAGUGGGGCCGAGAGUUGGUGCAGCUUGCGCAGGUGCAGCAUUAUCUGUGUUGACCAAAGAGGAAACGAGGGCAGACCGGUGAGCAUCAUCAUCUCUCAAUCGUGUAUGGCGGCAACUGAUUAAUUCUCUGAUCUAUGGUCAGACAAGCUAACGGAUGAUUUGACGAAUUAAUGGCAGAUUCCACGCGGAGAACUCAAAUCCAGCGCAUCACAGAGGUUUGGUGACAAUCGAUUUUCGUGAUUACCCCGGAAAUAAUUUUCAAUUUAUUUGUAACUUGUUUCAGUGGACGAUCGAUUUCAGAGAACGCUGUGGAAGGAGGAGGUCAGGGUACAGAGGCUGGUGGAGCUUCCUCUGCUCUCCCCCUCGACAAGGUCAAAGCCGCUGCCAUGUCGGGCCUAUCUGCUGCGGCUACGAAGGCGAAGCUAUUCGCGGAUCAGGAGGAGAGGGAGAUCCAGAGAUUAGUGGCGGCGAUCGUUCACCACCAGGUCUGCGUUUCCGAACAUACCUCGUUUUCCCCGAAAUCUCUGGAUCUC
rnacentral:lncRNA from 1 species